rnacentral:rRNA from 1 species
UACAGAGGGGGCAAGCGUUGUUCGGAAUUACUGGGCGUAAAGGGCGCGUAGGCGGCCUUCUAAGUCGAACGUGAAAUCCCCGGGCUCAACCCGGGAACUGCGUCCGAUACUGGAAGGCUUGAAUCCGGGAGAGGGAUGCGGAAUUCCAGGUGUAGCGGUGAAAUGCGUAGAUAUCUGGAGGAACACCGGUGGCGAAGGCGGCAUCCUGGACCGGCAUUGACGCUGAGGCGCGAAAGCGUGGGUAGCGAACAG